AGAAGCAGCCAGCUUGCUGGAAGCGGAAAAGGGAAAGGCUUAGUGGCGGACGGGUGAGUAACGCGUGGGUAACCUGGCCCAUACAGGGGGAUAACACUUAGAAAUAGGUGCUAAUACCGCAUAACAACAGAAAGCGCAUGCUUUUUGUUUGAAAACCAAGGUGGUAUGGGAUGGACCCGCGUCUGAUUAGCUGGUUGGCGGGGUAAAGGCCCACCAAGGCGACGAUCAGUAGCCGGCCUGAGAGGGUGGACGGCCACAUUGGGACUGAGACACGGCCCAAACUCCUACGGGAGGCAGCAGUGGGGAAUAUUGCACAAUGGGGGAAACCCUGAUGCAGCGACGCCGCGUGAGUGAAGAAGUAAUUCGUUAUGUAAAGCUCUAUCAGCAGGGAAGAAAGAAAUGACGGUACCUGACUAAGAAGCCCCGGCUAACUACGUGCCAGCAGCCGCGGUAAUACGUAGGGGGCAAGCGUUAUCCGGAUUUACUGGGUGUAAAGGGAGCGUAGACGGCAGUGCAAGUCUGAAGUGAAAGGCGGGGGCCCAACCCCCGGACUGCUUUGGAAACUGUGCUGCUGGAGUGCAGGAGAGGCAAGUGGAAUUCCUAGUGUAGCGGUGAAAUGCGUAGAUAUUAGGAGGAACACCAGUGGCGAAGGCGGCUUGCUGGACUGUAACUGACGUUGAGGCUCGAAAGCGUGGGGAGCAAACAGGAUUAGAUACCCUGGUAGUCCACGCCGUANACGAUGAUCACUAGGUGUCGGUGGGUAUGGACCCAUCGGUGCCGCNGCAAACGCAGUAAGUGAUCCACCUGGGGAGUACGUUCGCAAGAAUGAAAC
rnacentral:rRNA from 1 species